rnacentral:rRNA from 1 species
GAUGAACGCUGGCGGCGUGCCUAAUACAUGCAAGUCGAACGCACAGCGAAAGGUGCUUGCCCCUUUCACGUGAGUGGCGACCGGGUGAGUAACACGUCGACAACCUGUCUCUAUUCUGGGGAUAACAUUUGGAAACAGUUGCUAAUACCGAAUAAAACUUAUUGUCGCAUGACCCAAAGUUCAUAGGCGCUUCCGCGUCACCUUGAGAUGGUUCCGCGGUGCAUUAGUGAGUUGGUGGGGUAAAGGCCUACCAAGACAAUGAUGCAUAGCCGAGUUGAGAGAAUGAUCGGCCACAUUGGAACUGAGACACGGCCCAAACUCCUACGGGAGGCUGCAGUAGGGAAUCUUCCACAAUGGGCGAAAGCCUGAUGGAGCAACGCCGCGUGUGUGAUGAAGGCGUUCGGGUCGUAAAGCACUGUUGUAUGGGAAGAACAGCAAGAAUAGGAAAUGAUUUUAGUUUGACGGUACCAAAACAGAAAGGGACGGCUAAAUACGUG